AAAGAGGCGUCCGUAGAGGUGUAAAGUUGUAGCCUUUAUUAUGGGAGUAAAAUCUCUCCUUCUUUA
rnacentral:tRNA from 4 species